rnacentral:rRNA from 1 species
GGCUCAGAUUGAACGCUGGCGGCAGGCCUAACACAUGCAAGUCGAGCGGAUGAAAGGGGCUUGCUCCUGGAUUCAGCGGCGGACGGGUGAGUAAUACGCAGGAAUCUACCUAGUAGUGGGGGAUAACGUUUCGAAAGGGACGCUAAUACCGCAUACGUUCUGAGGAAGAAAGCAGGGGAUCGUAAGACCUUGCGCUAUUAGAUGAGCUUGCGUCCGAUUAGCUAGUUGGUGGGGUAAAGGCCUACCAAGGCGACGAUCGGUAACUGGUCCUGAGAGGAUGGAUCAGGUCACACUGGAACUGAGACACGGUCCAGACUCCUACGGGGAGGCAGCAGUGGGGAAUAUUGGACAAUGGGGGCAACCCUGAUCCAGCCAUGCCGCGUGUGUGAAGAAGGCCUUCGGGUUGUAAAGCACUUUAAGCGGGGAGGAAGGCCUGAUGGAUAAUACCCAUUGGGAUUGACGUUACCCGCAGAAUAAGCACCGGCAAACUCCGUG